GCCUCCGUGGCGCAAUCGGCUAGCGCGUUCGGCUGUUAACCGAAAGGUUGGUGGUUCGAGCCCACCUGGGGGCG
rnacentral:tRNA from 4 species